GACGAACGCUGGCGGCGUGCUUAACACAUGCAAGUCGAACGGAAAGGCCCUGCUUUUGUGGGGUGCUCGAGUGGCGAACGGGUGAGUAACACGUGAGUAACCUGCCCUUGACUUUGGGAUAAAUUCAGGAAACUGGGGCUAAUACCGGAUAGGAGCUCCUGCUGCAUGGUGGGGGAUGGAAAGUUUCGGCGGUUGGGGAUGGACUCGCGGCUUAUCAGCUUGUUGGUGGGGUAGUGGCUUACCAAGGCUUUGACGGGUAGCCGGCCUGAGAGGGUGACCGGCCACAUUGGUACUGAGAUACGGCCCAGACUCCUACGGGAGGCAGCAGUGGGGAAUAUUGCACAAUGGGCGGAAGCCUGAUGCAGCAACGCCGCGUGCGGGAUGACGGCCUUCGGGUUGUAAACCGCUUUCGCCUGUGACGAAGCGUGAGUGACGGUAAUGGGUAAAGAAGCACCGGCUAACUACGUG
rnacentral:rRNA from 1 species